rnacentral:misc_RNA from 1 species
GAUGAAGAACGCAGCGAAAUGCGAUAAGUAAUGUGAGUUGCAGAAUUCAGUGAAUCAUCGAAUCUUUGAACGCACAUUGCGCCCGCCAGUAUUCUGGCGGGCAUGCCUGUCUGAGCGUCAUUUCAACCCUCAUGCCCCUAGGGCGUGGUGUUGGGGAUCGGCCAAAGCCCGCGAGGGACGGCCGGCCCCUAAAUCUAGUGGCGGACCCGUCGUGGCCUCCUCUGCGAAGUAGUGAUAUUCCGCAUCGGAGAGCGAUGAGCCCCUGCCGUUAAACCCCCAACUUUCCAAGGUUGACCUCAGAUCAGGUAGGAAUACCCGCUGAACUUAAGCAUAUCAAUAAGCGGAGGA